UACGUAGGGUGCAAGCGUUAUCCGGAAUUAUUGGGCGUAAAGAGCUCGUAGGCGGUUUGUCGCGUCUGCUGUGAAAACUGGGGGCUCAACCCCCAGCCUGCAGUGGGUACGGGCAGACUAGAGUGCGGUAGGGGAGAUUGGAAUUCCUGGUGUAGCGGUGGAAUGCGCAGAUAUCAGGAGGAACACCGGUGGCGAAGGCGGAUCUCUGGGCCGUAACUGACGCUGAGGAGCGAAAGCAUGGGUAGCGAACAGG
rnacentral:rRNA from 1 species